GGAAAAAGGCUAUUGCUCAGUGGAACAGCCUCUGCUUUACAUGCAGAAGGUUGCAGGUUCAAUCCCAGCAGCUCCA